UUAAGCACUUUAUUAGAAUACACUAACGUAAAGAUUAUUUUUAUAUGAUUUCGUUAUUAUUCCGUUGAGCUGAUGUUUCGUUUAAUUCUCUCAGAAGACUCUUUAAGUUAUUUACUUUCAAAGAACCGACUUCAAAGAAAACGAUGGCUUUGCGAAUUUAGAUCAAAACAUCACGCAUUACGAUGACUUUUAAGUCAACAGAAAAUUCGAUUAAGUCUUUGAUUCUCAUUCGUAAAAGAAUGAUUACGUCGAAAUAUUUUGAUAAAUCGUUUUGAAAAUUAUUACGAUUAAUAUUCAACGUGAAUCGUUUAGUAACGAUCGGAAGCUGAUAUAACGGAUUCAAAAAAGAAUAUAUAAGUGCUCCAUCGGAACAUCUUUUACUUUUAUCAUUGGAAUUCAUCAGCGAUACUUGCCCAAGCGAUCCAAAAUACGCAUUUGAAGCUCUCCUCCUUAUAUCCCAUUGUUCGUUUUGCGUCGUCGGAUCUACUUACGAUUCGAAACACGUCUUGAAUAUACGAUAAAAUUUUCCCUUAGAUUUGGAUUCAUCUCAAACCUUACAACAGACGGCCCAGAACGAUCUUCUUUGUGUUGCUUUCUACAUACACGUUCGCACACAAGCAUGUAUACGCAUAUACCUAUACGGUUAUCUUUACCAGAUAUGUAAACACAUAGCUAUGCAUACGUUUGCGUAUGGACAGAUAUGGACCAUCGUACGUAAUACUAUACAUUUAUAUACGUAUGAGUGUCAUGGACGACACAUAUGAUAGUACUAGACAUAUACAGGACACACUGAACGAAAGAUAGGAACGAGAGUGUGCACGGAUGCAACGAUUGAAAGCAGCGAGUUCUUGCAAGCUUUACAGGAAUACAGUCUUCUUACAUUACCAUUAGACGACGACCGUACUUGCGAUUAUGAAGAUAUCGUUGAGACUCCAAGCAAAUGGGUCGCUUUUGUUGAUGCACGUGAUCCUCGUAUCAUUUUCAUCGCGAAAUAUACUCUAAUGUUAAUAUACCCAACGAGUAUAUCAGUUGUAUAUGCAAUUUAAUGCUUUAUGUAUGCACGAUGUUUAUUAAAUGAGAUUAAAGUUUAA